rnacentral:rRNA from 1 species
ACGCUCGACACCUACGUGAGGCAGCAGUGAGGAAUAUUGGUCAAUGGGCGCAGGCCUGAACCAGCCAAGUAGCGUGAAGGAUGACUGCCCUAUGGGUUGUAAACUUCUUUUAUAUGGGAAUAAAGUUUUCCACGUGUGGAAUUUUGUAUGUACCAUAUGAAUAAGGAUCGGCUAACUCCGUGCGAGCAGCCGCGGUAAUCUGAGGCGGGCUGGACGAAGGC